AUUUUACCCGCGGAAAACUAAGCAUAUCAAUAAGCGGAGGAAAAGAAACUAACAAGGAUUCCCCUAGUAACUGCGAGUGAAGCGGGAAAAGCUCAAAUUUAAAAUCUGGCGGUCUUCGGCCGUCCGAGUUGUAGUCUGGAGAAGUGCUUUCCGCGCUGGACCGUGUAUAAGUCUCUUGGAACAGAGCGUCAUAGAGGGUGAGAAUCCCGUCUUUGACACGGACUACCAGUGCUUUGUGAUGCGCUCUCAAAGAGUCGAGUUGUUUGGGAAUGCAGCUCAAAAUGGGUGGUGAAUUCCAUCUAAAGCUAAAUAUUGGCGAGAGACCGAUAGCGAACAAGUACCGUGAGGGAAAGAUGAAAAGCACUUUGGAAAGAGAGUUAAACAGUACGUGAAAUUGCUGAAAGGGAAACGCUUGAAGUCAGUCGCGUCGUCCGGAACUCAGCCUUGCUUUCGCUUGGUGCACUUUCCGGAUGACGGGUCAGCAUCGAUUUUGACCGUCGGAAAAGGGCUGGAGUAAUGUGGCACCUCCGGGUGUGUUAUAGACUCUAGUCGCAUACGGCGGUUGGGAUCGAGGAACGCAGCGCGCCGCAAGGCAGGGGUUCGCCCACUUUCGCGCUUAGGAUGCUGGCAUAAUGGCUUUAAACGACCCGUCUUGAAACACGGACCAAGGAGUCUAACAUACCUGCGAGUGUUUGGGUGGAAAACCCGAGCGCGUAAUGAAAGUGAAAGUUGAGACCUCUGUCGUGGAGGGCAUCGACGCCCGGACCUGACGUUCUCUGAAGGAUCCGCGGUAGAGCAUGUAUGUUGGGACCCGAAAGAUGGUGAACUAUGCCUGAAUAGGGUGAAGCCAGAGGAAACUCUGGUGGAGGCUCGUAGCGAUUCUGACGUGCAAAUCGAUCGUCAAAUUUGGGUAUAGGGGCGAAAGACUAAUCGAACC
rnacentral:rRNA from 1 species